ACGAACCUGCGAAGGCAAGCGGAUCUCUUAAAGCCGUUCUCAGUUCGGACUGUAGGCUGCAACUCGCCCACACGAAGCUGGAAUCGCUAGUAAUCGCGGAUCAGCACGCCGCGGUGAAUACGUUCCCGGGCCUUGUACACACCGCCCGUCACACCAUGAGAGUCUGUAACACCCAAAGCCGGUGGGAUAACCUUUAUAGGAGUCAGCCGUCUAAGGUAGGACAGAUGAUUAGGGUGAAGUCGUAACAAGGUAGC
rnacentral:rRNA from 1 species